rnacentral:rRNA from 1 species
CGGGAGUGAAAACACACAGCUUAACUGUGUGCUUGCUUUCGAUACGGGCAGACUUGAGGCAUGCAGGGGAGAACGGAAUUUCUGGUGUAGCGGUGAAAUGCGCAGAUAUCAGAAGGAACACCGGUGGCGAAGGCGGUUCUCUGGGCAUGUUCUGACGCUGAGGAGCGAAAGUGUGGGGAGCGAACAGGAUUAGAUACCCUGGUAGUCCACACCGUAAACGUUGGGCGCUAGGUGUGGGAUCCAUUCCACGGGUUCCGUGCCGCAGCUAACGCAUUAAGCGCCCCGCCUGGGGAGUACGGCCGCAAGGCUAAAACUCAAAGGAAUUGACGGGGGCCCGCACAAGCGGCGGAGCAUGCGGAUUAAUUCGAUGCAACGCGAAGAACCUUACCUGGGUUUGACAUAGGAAGAAAUCCUCCAGAGAUGGGGGGUCCGUCAAUUCC